UCCUCCCUCUCUGAAAGGCAUCAGAAGCGGCCGCAUCAAUGACGAUCAUAUUCAAACUCGGAAGCUUUUCUUCAUCCCACCCGUCGCCGUUGUUGUUCACCACCACCAGAAACGGAGGCGCCUGCUUCUGCUGGUCUCUCUUUCCUUUUUACUCUGCUUUCUCCUCUUCGUCGUCAGAAUCCUCGAAGCCGAACGGGAGAGAACGAUGAGAUGGUCUCGAUGAUGCCCUAAAUCCAAACCCCUUUCUCCCCCCAUGGUGGGAUCUCGGAGCCGCCGCGGAGGAGGCGGCAGCGGUACCGCCACGGGGCUUCCGCCUACGCCGACGUCUUCCCGACAUAGGUCGCUGCUCGCCUGGACGACUACGCCGAGGUCUUCGGCGACCUCGCUGGCUCGUGCUCCAUUCCGCUUUUCGACCUCCCGCCGGCUGCGGACGGCUGGUCUUCGGGGGCUUGGCCUUUGGAGAGUUCGUGGCUCCCUACGAGGAGAUGUUUGCGGUGUCCAAGAGAGGAGGCGUAUUCUUCGAAUGGAAGGAGUGGCUUUGGUGAACCCCACAUUCGCCCUUUUCAUUUGUUUCUAUGGUAGUUUAUGAGUUGAUCUUUUGAUGUUUACCGCUAAAAGUUCCUUUCUCUAUGUGUUCUGACGAUGGAGAUCUGGUGAGCUUUGCUGCCGGACUGUGAGUCAGCUUAUUCUUCUUAGUUCGAUUACUAGAGAUGUCUCCUUAGAGCAAAAAUUCUUCUAUGUCUGUGCUUCUUGCUUAAUUUAUGCUUUAAUUGCAUACGUAGCUUUAGCCCCUAGAAGAAUUCUUAUCAAAUUCUCUGGGUAAAAUAAGCCGUCAGAGAGGAAAAAAAAAAGUUUCUUAUUUGAGUGAAAUUGUUCUUCAAUUGUUUAGGGCAAGCAAAGAAUUCAUUCGGAGAUAGGCAUUCUUUUGGUACGAAAGUCCUCGAAGAACACUGUUCCUUUUAUUGUUGGUAUCAUGUUGAAUGUGUUACCUAGGUUUCCUGGUAAACCUCGAAAUUAGGUAACAUAUGCAUGCUCCAGUUGAUAAGUUUGUUUGCAGGAAUUUAUUUUGGCGAAAGUAUGUUCAAGUUUGCUGAAGAGUCAUGUAGUUAAUUAGAAAAGAUUUAUGGGAUUCGGAUGCCAUUACUGUUUUCUAAAGCAAGGACAAAUAGCCACCAUAAUCCUACAUCCCAAAAAUCAAUCGCUUUAUGAUUAAGGACAACCUUGAAUAAUUUUGUUUUCUAGUGGAACCCUUUAAGUACAUCGAAAGUUUGGAGCCAGACAACAUCGGAGUGUCUCCAACUUUUGUCUUACCCGAGGGUUUUUCUAUGUUUUUGCAACUACUGGACAAUAAAUACUGGUAGAAAUAUAAUUUGUAACUAUCUCAAGGUAGGCUAAGAUUGCACAGUAAGCAGCAUCGUGAUUUGAUGUCCACGAGGAAUGUGAUCUAGGAGAAGAAUACUUUUGAAAAUAUUGGAUGAUGAAAGUUAAUCAAUUGCUAGUAUGAAUUUGGUGUCUUCUCUCUUUGAUUUAGUAUCUACUGAGUUAGAUAUAAAAGAAAAUGUGGUGUUUCAUGACACUCUCAUUUAUCUGCUGAAUCUUUCAGCAGAAGUUUGCAGCAUGUGAUUGACAAUGUCCAUUGCUUGUGGAGCAAACACUAUUGCAAUACGUGGACAUGAUUCCAUCUAUCAGGAUUAGAAAUUAUCCUCCAUUGAAAUAUUAGCGUUGGUUGCUGGCAUCAUGCUUGGGUUCCAAGAAUUUUGCUGCCAGAAGAGAAGCGUCACCACUAAGGCAUUCCAUUCCAUUCGAUGUAGAACUGUGUUGUCUACCAACAUUGUUGCAACAGUUAAUGACUGAACAACAAGGUUUAGGGAUAGUAGAGAGAGAGAAGCAUACGACUGUGUACGUGUGAUAAGAAGGAAGGCUACGUCAGCAUUCCUUCGUGCUGUGAGAUGUGGAACGUACCUGAGGAUUAAACAGCUAUUCCAGCAAGAGGUGUCUUUGUCUCUUCCACGCAUGAUUGCAGAAUAGAUGUCUUUGAUCUUCUCCGAGUGGGAAGCUGCGAUUACUCGUCGCCGAUCAUCUCUCCAUCGGAACAUGGCCAGCCAGCCAGAUCUAACAGCAGCCUAAGGAAUUUGCUGAUUUGGCAUGUAUCCAUGUUGAUUUGGUGUGCAACAUUGAUGACAUAACAUCUAUAU